UUCUCCUCUUCAUCUCGUCUUAUCUAUUUGAGGCAAAAAAUUAGGUUUUUUACAGUCUAGCUUCCGUAGCCACACGAAGUACAAAAUGACGAAAAGGAAAACAAACUCUAAACGCAAGCCCAAAGAUUCAUCAUCUCGCGUCGCAUUUUCGGAGGGACGGGUUACUUUCGAACACCCAUCCACGAAAAAACCUCGUAAUAACAAAGCAGGGGACUCGACACAAGAAAAUGAGACUUCUCAAGGAUUUACAACGCCCAUUCCUGAUAUGCCCAAAGGAUUUAAGGAAGGUAAAUCAUCCGUCUCGGCACACAGUCGUCCCCGUGGUGGUUCGGGAAGAUCAAACCGUAAUUUGGCUAAGUCAUUUCCCUAAGUUGCUUCUAAAACUAGCAACGCUAUCGAAGGGUAGAGCUGAUAGAAUAUAUACGAAACCAUUACACCCGUGUCAAGUAUCACUCUGUUAAAAUCCAAAGGCUGCUUAUUUUUGCAUCUAUUGCGUUGGAUGUGCCCAUCGCUUCGUAUGCCAAGAGCGAGCUUUUUUAUUCCUAGUGUUUUUUUUUUUCUUAGUGAAGCUCAGUUCAUUAACAUGAAUUUUGUAGUUGCUUUAAAGAAAAGCGGAAUCUCUUAAUAUUGAACAAAUCGUGAUGGUGUGAUUGAAGGAGUUCGUGAGAGAAAGCAAAGAAGAAAAGAUGGAAAGAAACAAAGAGAAGAGAGGUUCAAACUCGACAUGGGACGAGGAGAUGAAAAAGCGAAGAAGAGGAGAAGAGAAGAUAAGGAACAAGCACAUAAGGAGAAAGAUGAAUAAAAAGAGUAACAAGCAUGAAGGAUACGAGAUAAGGAGAAUAAAUUGAUCUGUAUCCCCAAAGAGAAAGUUUUGUUUUUCAGAUUAGAGGAUGAGAACACACUGAUAACACAACAGUUCUGUACACUUAUUUAGUUGUACACCAUUACAAAUGUACGCUAGUAAAGUGUAUACAACAGUUCUGUACCCUCAUCCAGUGUAUAUAAUGGUUUCGUACUCUCAACCAGUGUACACAAUGACUACUCUCA